CAGGCUGUGACUGGUUGACCAGAGGGUACGCACUUGGUUCACCCUCUGGGCCCCCUAGUCACCAACCCUC
rnacentral:pre_miRNA from 1 species